rnacentral:rRNA from 1 species
AUUGAACGCUGGCGGCAGGCCUAACACAUGCAAGUCGAGCGAGCGGCGGACGGGGGCGUAAUGUAUGGGGACUGCCCGUUAGAGGGGGAUAACAACUGGAAACGGUUGCUAAUACCGUAUACAAUCCGAUUAUCCAUAUGGGAUUAGCUAGUAGGUGAGGUAAUGGCCCACCUAGGCGACGAUCCCUAGCCGGUCUGAGAGGUUGAUCAGCCACACUGGGACUGAGACACGGCCCAGACUCCUACGGAGGCAGCAGUGGGGAAUAUUGGGCAAUGGGCGCAAGCCUGAUGCAGCAAUGCCGCGUGUGUGAAGAAGGUCCUAGGAUUGUAAAGUACUUUUAGUCGGGAGGCGUUACCUACAGAAGAAGCAACGGCUAACUACGUGCCAGCAGCCGCGGUAAUAC